GCAGCGCUGCCCACCAGUUAGAGCACUGGCUGUGGGUUCAGAGCUGAGUGUGAAUCUUGGCUGCUGCUGUACUGUGAGCCUUGAAUGCUUGGGGCUGGGCACACAGUAGCUGGGCAGGCACCGCUGCCAUGCCUGACUGUUGUCCUGCAGAUUUGGAAGGUGUGGUGGGCUGGGUGCCGGGGUCCAGGAAGCUCCCAGGCCAGAUGCACUGCACAGAUGCCAGCACUGGCGUUCGCCUAAGCCAAACCCAUCAUCUUACUCCUGGUGAUUCCAGGGUCUCCAGCUCCUCCUCUCUGGCCUGCCCUCCUCCCUCUUGGUCACGAAUAUAAACAGAAGUUUCUCUUCCAGGCCUGGGAGGAGGCGAGAGGGGGCUUCUGUCUUUACACAAAGUGUGUGCAGCAGGCUCAGCUCUAAGCCACCCUGCGACCCGCCUCCCCAGUGUUCCCCUGUGACUAUACUAUGCUGUGAACAGAACUUUGCAGAUGUCACAAAGGUGACUGAUCAGUGGACCUUAAGAGAAGGAGGUGAUCUGGCUCAUCUGACCUGGUCACAUGAGUCCUUUAAAAGCAGAGCAUUUUCUCUGACUGGUGAGAGCAGCCAGGACCCAAGAGACCCCAGUGUGAGACGUGCAGCCACGAGGCAGUGGGUGCUGGGGUGCAGGGGUCUCAGGGCAGGGCUGUGAGGAGCUAAGAGCCCCCAGCGAACACCCAGCAAGGACAGAGGACCUCAGUCCUACAGCUGUAAGGAGCUGGAUUCUGCCAACACCCCCAAAUGAGCACAGGAGCCUGCAGGGGACGGCCCCUGGCCUCGCCACCCCUCUGCUUUCAGACCCUCCAUGGUUAGCCUUCAGGGUGAAGUCUCUGAGCUCUCAGUGGUUUGGCAUUCAACGUGGAAAAAAAAGACACUGUCCUCAUCAGCUUGGAGAAGGUUGCCUGCGGGGGCCCUGCUCUGUGCCAGGGGCAGCUGAGUCUCACAAGGGACCAGGCUCCCACAGAAAUGCCUGCACUCCAGAGGCUGCUCUGCAGACAUGUCUGCUCCCAGAGUCCUCGGGCUCAGGGACCACUGAGGAGCCCAGGCGCACUGGGAGGACGUCUGACGCAAGGAGGUGACGGGGAGCCAGGAGGGCUGGGGGAUCUAGGAGCACCAACUUCACUUCCCAAAGCUGAGACACAAGAGAACCCAGGGACUCAAGGUGUUCCUGGCCUUGGUUUCCUCACCUGUUGAUGAUCACUGAUAAUAAGCCCGGCUCGGGGAGCACCGGGCUCUGUUAUCAGUGCACGAUUAGCAUUACGUAAUAAGGUGGGGUAGGUGCUAUUUAUCAGUCCUGUCAAUAUCACAGUUUCCCAGGCAAGGAGCUGAGGAUAGAGGGGAGACUGGAACAGUGGCUCUUGGACAGCGGGAGGAGCCGGUGAAUGAGAGCCCUGGCUCUAGCUUUGUGGCUGUGCCCUGGGCUUGCUUCCUGGCACCCCGUACAGCAGCUGGGGACCUAGACCAGGUGGACUGGCUUCCUCCUGCCGCCCUGUGUCCUCCUCUGUAAAUCAGGGACAGUGACGGCUGUCUUCAGCCCAGAGCUGGCUUGCAGGAGGCAAACGUUCGGGCCAGGGGGAGGAGGUGAGAGGUUCCCCCCCCCAUAGCUCAGAUGCUCAGCCCCGCCUCUGUGGCAUCAUGUUCAUCUGGGCACUUGGCAGAAUCCACUCAUUUCCUGGCGCUGUGUGUCUAACCCGGGCUUGGCAUCUUCGCAGCUGGCGGCUGUCACAGCCUGCCCCAUCCUACCCCAGGCAUCUGAAACCCAGCCCGGGACAGCGAGAGUUUAUAGGGUGCCAAUUGGCAGUUGGAGCCAAGCACCCAGCGAUGAGCCUCACUUGCACACAGCACCCACCACACCCACCCUGCAGCAGGUCCCAGGUCGCCAGCUCCCUGAAGACAGGAAGUGCGCCUUUUCUCCCCUCUCCUCCUGCGCUGGGCAGAGUAUUGUUGGCAACACACUCUGUUUAACUGAAGCUGAGUGAGGGACCCCACUUGCCGGGCGCUCCAUGCCUCACAGUGUCACUCGAUGGUUUCCCCGAAUCUUCACAAUCAUCUUAGGAGUCACUUCUAUGCAUUCCCUAUUAACAGAUUUAAAAAAAAACAAAACAGGCCCAGAGAGGUUAGGUGACUACCCUAGCCCAGGGGCACACAGCUGGGAAUGGCACAGCUGAGAUUUGAACUUGGAUCUGUCCCUCCCUAGCCCACCCUAAGCCUCCACUCUUGACCUCAGUGCAACAAAGAACAGAGUAGAGAACUAUGGAGUGGGAACUUAUCCUGGGUCUGCCUCUCUAGGCCUCAGUUUCCCCACCUGCUCCAUGCGCACUGCUGCUUGGGCCCCUCCAGCUCACAGUGGGAGGCUCUGGGAGGCUCAGUGCAGCACCGGCUUCUGGCUGGUUUCACCCAGGCACCGGGAAGCAGGUUAUCUGGGGUUCAACAGCUCAAGCCCCCAGGGCCCAGGCUGGGAUUCCAGGCCUCUUUGAUUUCGCUGAACAGCCUCUCCCAGUCUUGUAAACUGUUUGGCUUGGCCUCACGGAGCAACCUUUGUUAUUGCAAAAUCUCAUGUUUCCAUGAAGCCCAGGGAAAGAAGAACCUUUGGCGGCAGCUUCUGGCAUCUGUCUGAAUUCUGUUCUUGUGAGGCUCCCAGCUGUGGGGAAGCUGGCCCAGGCUGAGCGGCAGGGUGGAGCCCAUGGCCUGGCCAGGUGGUCCAAGCCUGUGUGGCCACCUGCCAGUCUCAGCCUGGUCACAUCCGAGAUGAACCAGAACCGCCACAGAGGUGCCCAAGGGCUCGUUCGGGUGAGACUGGGGUGAGGAAGCCAAGGGAAGUGUUCCCGUGGUCACAGGCCUGGGACACUCCACAGACUCUGUUCCAGGGCUCCCAGGCAAAUCAGGACUUGCCAAGCCCGGGUUCCUUUGGAAGAGGAAAAAGGAAAGGAAACUCCAGUUUCCAGAGCUUGGAUUCCUAAACACCCUGCCAGGCCUGAGUCUACAAACAUUUCCUCAUGAACGCCGCCAGCCCACUGUGAGCAGGGCAGUAUAUCUUUGCACUGUUCCAGCUGAGGAUAGGAAGGAGCAGAGAGGUUAAGUACCCCGCGAGGGUUACACAGCUGGUAGGUGGGAGACGUUGCCUGUGCUGGGUUAGAUUUCCAAGUUCAGAAUCAUUGACGCCGAUGUUGCUUUCUCAGCUGGAGAAAGCAAGGUUUCAUCUUGGCGUCCAGAAGCUGCCUCUGCCUCAGUCUCUUCACCUUGGAUCCAGGCUGCACGUGGGACCAGCCUAUGGGAACAGGUUGGCUUUGCUCACAUCCUGCUCUAGUUCCCCCAGAAUGUGACGCUGGAUACUGGAGCCCAGGCCAAGAGGAAGGAUGGGCUGCCUUCUGCCCCAUGGCACCAUGGGAAUAUCUGGGGGCCUCGCUUGCAAAGAUGGGACCCCAGAACCCUGGCCUCUCCACCUUGUAGCUCUAGGCUCUCAGCAACUCCUCCUAGUAUCCUGCUCUCAUACCCACUGGUGCCAUCUGGUCUAAGUCUCACUGUUUGCUGCCUGGACUCAUGCAGUAGCCAGUAAUCUCUCUGCUCCAUUCUCCGGCCCGCUGAGCCAUCCUUCACACGGAGCCAAAGGAUUUGUGUGAAAUCCACAUCCAACAGCAUUUAUUCUCCUGCUCAGACCCUUCUGUGGCUCCGUAUUUACUACUUUCAGGAUAGAAUCUGGAUUCCUGCCAUCUUGCCCUGUCUCCUGCCAAAGGCCACCCUAGACUUGCACAGCCUCUCAUCUUUUCUGAAGGUGUCGCUAUACUCUCUGCUUUCUUUUCCUGGGCUUCUCUCUCACUCCUUUUUAUCUUGGAGGACCAGGAACAUUUGCCUCCUCUUCCUGGAAGCCUCCCCAAGUCGCAGUCGGGGUCCCUGCUUCCUCUGUUUCCUGCCCAUCACAGUCCUGGUCCCACUGGAGUGACACUGUCUGUCUGAGCCUCUGUCACUGCCAGGGGCACCCAGAGGGUCAGGUUUGGGUCUGCCUUGGCUCAGUGUCCCCAGCGUGACCCACCACAGUGUGCAGCCCGAAGCGGGUCUCAGUGCCUGAAGCUGCAGCACACAUGGUUCCAAUAGGGCUGGGCUUGGAGAACCUGCCCAGGAGGCAGGAAGCGGCUGGUGCCCUUGCACUCCCCCGGGGCACCUGCAACGGUCUGGCCGGCUGCAUCUGCUACUUGGCAUUAAUGUCUCAUUAAUAAGCAGAUUUGGCACUUGCUUUGCACCUUUCAUCCCCAACCCUCUGAACAUGUCCCCAACUUUAAUUAAUUCUCCCCACACCAAAAACGAGGCUGCCCUUCCCACAGCAGAUAAUGAUGUGUGAAGUCCUUUCGGUGAAGGUGUUGUGAUUAAUUCCACUGUGUAAUUAGGAUCGUCUCUUCCUGCCUCCCACACCGUUUCCAGUUCCCCUCCCUCCCCUGGCCCAACAGGUGGGCUGGAGGCCUUCAGCAUGGAGCUCUGGUUUGUUAUUGUCACGAAGCCACACAUGAGCUCGCUGCCUCAACAGCUCGGCGUGUCCUUGGAAAAUACAAUGAGAUAAGUUUUGUGGAGAUGGCAGAGGCCGAAGAGGAGCAAUGAGUGGAGCGCAGCCGCCCUGGGACCUGGUUUCUGCAAGCUUGUGGAGUGAACUGAGGCUGGGGAUGGCCCCGGGAAAUCACAACUUCAGAAAGCUCUCCCUCCUUCAAGAAGCCUCCCCUGAUUAGUCUGCUCAGAUUGGCCUCUCCCUUUUCUGUCUCCCUCUGGCCUUAAGAGUAGAGGCCCCUGUUUUAACAGGUGAUUGCUUGGUGUUGGCCUGACUUUCCCAAUAACGUUGAGAAUCCCGGCAUCAGAUGCAAGUUUCCAUGUUUUUGUAUCCUGGGGGAUGAGCAGAGGACUUUGCAUCCAGUAGAUGGGUAUGUGUGGGUGGGUAGAUGGAUAUGGUGGGAGUGAACAGUUGGUAGAUGGGAGGAGGAUGGAUGGAUAGAUGGGUAGGGAAUAGGUGAAUGGAUAGAUGCGUGGAUGGGUGAGUGGAUGGGUGGAUGAAUGGAUGGAUGGAAGGAUGGAGGGAUGGAUGGAAGGAUGGGUAGGUAAUUGGUGGUUGGAUGGGUGAGUAGUUGAAUGAGUGAAUGGGUGGGAUGGAUAAAUGGGUAGAUGAGCAGGUGGAUAGAAGGUUGGAUAAGUAAAUGGUGGGCUGGUGGAUGGGUGAGUAGAUGACGGGUGGGUGAAUGACGGGUGGGUGGAUGGUGAGUGAACAAGUUUUGGAAGGAUGAAUACACAAGUGGGUGUUGGGUAGAGGGAGGACUAUGUAGAGAACUGAAGGAAGGGCUGGGAUAAUGGAUAGAUGGGUAAGAUGGUGAGUGAAAGCUGGAUGGCCGGGGGAUGCAUGGCUGGAGGGAUUACUGGGUAAAUGAUGGGUGGGGGGUCUUCCAAAUGACAAUAACAAUAAUGGCAGUAAUAAUUUAACUCUAGCUAAUAUUUACUGAGGCACUAGGCAUGGUUUCAAGCAUUUUACAUUUUUAAUUAGCCCAUUUAAUGCUUAUAACUCCUCCAUGGGAGAAUGCAUGGUGGAUUGGGAGGGGGCAGCUUGGGUGUCUGUGCUGUGGAAGGGCGGACAGUCAGGUGGAUGGCUGGAUGUGCGUUUUGUGAUGGGGCAGAUGCUUGAUGAAACAUGGGGAGCUGGGCAGGCUGGGAGGGGAGGUGUGCAGGGAGCAGGAUGACAAGAGGUCCUGAGGGGCAGGUGAGAGGCUGGCAUAAGAGCUGAAUAUGUUCUAUCUGUUCCCACCUCAGGGAGGGCAUUUCCAUCCAUUGGACACACACACCAGGAAGCUAGUGUCCCCUUUGAAGAUCAUCUCCGCCUGGGUCCCUCAUCCUACUGCCCCUUAGGGUUCUAGCCGUCUGACACCAACCAUUCCAGAUCCUGUUGAUUCCUGCUGGAUUUUGUCCCACAGGCUUCCUUAGGUGUCCCCACCCCCUGCCCUGUCCCUUGCCCAUGGGAGAUCUGGUCAAACUGCUCUUAAUCAUGCCACCUCCUUACCCAAGCUCUUCGGUGACCCCUGACCCCCACAGCCAGCCAGCGCUGCUUUGCCGUGUGUCACAUGACCAGUGGCCGCAGACACACCUGAGACCCUUCCCCCACUGACAGCUUCUUUCAAGCUCCCAGGUUAUUACUAUGAGGUGCCUCUUCCCAAAUGGCAGCCCCCACCUCGGCCCAUUCACCUCCGGCGAAGGGAAACCUCAUCUGCUCUGCAGCCCCCGUCACAGCCACCAUCCCAGAGUCCACAUGGAGGUUUCCAGCCUGAGGUCUGGAGCCGAUGCCGUGUGCAAACCGUGGCUUCCCCGGCCCAGCCUCCUCAUCUGUAAAAUGAAGCAAACAGGACCAGCCAAAGGACGCCGGGUGCUGAGUUCCUGCUGACUGCUUGCCGGCCUGCUCCCUGAACCUCAAGGGGUCCUCACCUUUUGGAGCAGGGCAGACUGGCCGCCCAGGUCUUCCAUCUGCAUAUCUGAGUCUAAGCCACUUCUCUCUCAGGGACAGGAGGAUGACCUUGCUUCUCCUGGAGCCUGGGCCCCGAGGAGCUAGGAAUAGUGAAGGGAGCCUGCCUCCUGCAGUGCGGCCAGCUGCUGCUGGCAUCUGUGGGAAUGUGGCUGAGGCUUGCCAGCUGUUGGGGAGUGCAGGGGAACCAGAGGCGGGGAGAGUUUCCAUCUCCAAAUGUGCUGAGCCAGCAUUCUGGGCUGCUGUCCUUGUGUCUCACCUGGAGUAGGGGAAGGCCUGUGAACAGGGAAGGCUCUGCCAUUCACUGGCAAGUGACUUUGAGCAAGUGGCUCGUCCUUGUGUCCCGGUUUCCCAGAGAGGAAAGUGUCAGGGCCCUUGAUUCAGGAUGUAGGCUGCCUCCUGGUCCCCAGUCUAAUCCUGACCCCAGCCAGGGGAUUUAAGGAUGGUGGCCCAUGCCCCAGACCCCUGUCUACAUUUCGAGCUUUGCCGAGUGCAUGCUUCCCCCUCGACACCCCCUAUUUCCAUAUGAGGUUGGCACCUGAGGACAGAUGCCAUCAGCCACUCGCAGCCUGUGACCUCAGGUCAAGUCAUUUGCCUCCUAGACUGCUUCCCCCUGUCUAAAAUGGGGACGAUGGCCCAUCCUUGGGGCAUGGUGCCGUGGGGUGAGAUAUGCAUGUCAAUGGCACAUAGUGAGAGCUUCUGAAGCACACAGUAGGCGCUUGGUGUUGCUGUUAUGCUUUCCAUGGGAUGGGCUGCUGUGCUGAUUGUACAGAUGACCUCAGCAGAGCCAAGCUGGAGAGGAGAGAAAAUGACCAAGUUCUCUGCAUCUCUGAGGGUCCAAGGCUGGGGCCAGCAGGGAGACCUUUGGUGUGGCUUAGAAGGGCCCCAAUUCUCAGAGCUGGGAGAAACAGUCUAAAUUGGCUGUCGGUUCAGGUGGGGAGCUCCCCAUUCCCAGGGGCAAUCAAAUAUAAUCUGGUCCUCUGCUUUCCAGUGUUUUCCCUGAGAUUUCAUGACGCUGUUGUUUCUCUAGAUCCUCACCAGCAGAAACACUCCCUGUAGACUUUGGGUGAAAAUCAGAUCUGACCCUGCCAGGUUCCUGCCACGGACCCUCCUGUGCUCCCAUCGCCCCGGUAGGUGGGGGAGGGGAGAAGGGAAAAUUCAACAAUGACAUCCCCAUGCAGGCCACGUCCCGGCCACCAGACCUGGAGUGGGAGGAAGGACACGAGGCCAACACCAGCAGGUGGAUGAACAUGGACAGGUGGACUCAAUCUGGACUGAGGGCUCAUCCCCAGGGGGCUGGAGAGGAUGAGAACAAAUCCAACCAAUUCAUGUGCUGCCCAGAGCUCCUGUCAUGCGAGGAACGCGCCAAAAUCCUUGGGGUGUUCUUUGAUAACCCCGUGUCAUAGAGGAGGAGUCUGAGGCUAAGAGAAGUCCGGUGACCUUCCCACAGUCAACUCCCAGCCACAGAAUGGGACUCUAAGCCUAGCUGCAAAUACUACUGUGUGGCGUCUGUGAGGGGUCACUGUCACACUCGCCAGCCAGCACAGGCCAGUUAUGCAGCUGAAUUGCGGGGUGCUGCUGGCCUCCGGCACAGGUGGCCCCUGGUGCUCUGGGCAGGCCUGUUGGAUUCUGAGCUCUGCAGCCCUGGGCGGGGCUGCUACCCUGGACCGAAUGCCUUCCCUUGGGGGCUCUCCGGCCAUCGCUCCUCUGCCCAUGGCUGUGCAGAGUCCGCAAAUCACAGUGACUGCUUUCCCCUCCCAUGGACCAGCUGGAAGGGAACACUCAGACAUCAGCUGUCCAGAUGUCUGCGGUCUGGUGCCCCUACCGUGCGAAUGUCGGAGCAGGUUUCCAGUGGUCAGGGUGGCCAUUUCCAGGCAGCCAACCUACGGGCUCCCUCAGGCUCCAUUCACCAGAGCCCCAUUCUAGAACGUCCUCCUGAAACCCAGCAGCCUCAGGGGGAUUUAAGCACAGUCAGUAUAAUGAGGGCCAGUUUCUGCAUUCAGGUCUUGGCUCCAAACCCUCCCAUGGUGACCCGGAGAAAGGGUUCUUCCACUUGACAAGGGCAUAGCAGGUGGAGGCUGUAUUCCAGGAGCUGCUCCCGGCUGCCCACUGGGAGAGGCGGAGGCAGGGAGAGUCUGGGAGAUGUUUUUCUAGUUUACAUUUGUAACCCUGACCCUUCCUCUUCUCUUGUUCAUCUGUGGGCUGUCAAGCCCCCAGUCUCUCUCCUGAGCAUCAAACUCAUGUCACCAACUGCCCAGGCCUACAGGCUGCAUGCAGGUCUGAGCUAGAACGCUACACCCCAUGCCCAGAUCUCCACCGUCACCGUCUGCUCAGAUGUUUCUCCUUGGCUCGAACCAGGCUCUGUGGUUCUACCACGUGAGUUCCUCCACUUCCAUCUCCUACCAUACUGUCAGCACCCCUGUGGCUGUCUAGGCGCCAUCCUGCUCCCAGGCCCCCACCUGAGUACAGUCAGCCCGGCUCUGCCCAGAAGCCCAGCCAGCUGCCCAGCAGCUCCUACCAUGGAUGGUCUGACCAAGGUGUCAGGACACCAGCAUCAGAGAGGUAUCACGAGUCAUGGUCCCCAGAAAGGCAAAUGAACAGAGGCCCCUUUCCCAAUCCUGACUCCUCACCCACAUCAGAGAGCAGAGAGGGAGGACUGUGGGGACACUCUUUCAGGAAGAGAGUGGGUGCCGUCCCACCUUUAGUCUCCAAAGGAGAGGAGACUGCUGCCAGCUUCACCAUUGCCUGCUGGGACCAGUGAGAGAGGCUCGGGGUUGACUGGAGCCAGGGGCUGCAGGCUCAGCGGAGACUCAGGAGAAGGGCUGGGCUGGGCUGUCAUUUCCAGAGGUGACCUGGCCGAAGUGCCUACAGGAGUCCGUGAUUCAGACAUGAGGCUCAGGGCUGGGGGAGUCCUGCCAAGAGACCCUGACAAUGAGUCUUCGACGUGUGGAGACCUUGGAGAAGAGAA